rnacentral:tRNA from 1 species
GCUAGAGAAGUGUUACUGGUAGACACGUCAGGCUCAUGACCUGAAGUAGUAGGUUCGAGUCCUUCCUUUAGUA